rnacentral:rRNA from 1 species
GGAAGUGGGAUGACGUCAAAUCAUCAUGCCCUUAUGUUCUGGGCUACACACGUGCUACAAUGCCGGUACAGACGGACGCAAAGCCGCGAGGUGGAGCAAAUCCUAAAAAGCCGGUCUCAAGUUCGGAUUGCAGGCUGCAAUUCGCCUGCAUGAAGUCGGAAUCGCUAGUAAUCGCAGGUCAGCAUACUGCGGUGAAUACGUUCCCGGGCCUU